ensembl:lncRNA novel transcript, antisense to MARVELD3
GGCAUUUGUUCAUUUAAACGGGCUCCUAGGACGAGAACCCGGGGACGCCAGGGCCUCGCGGGCCGGCCUGGGCCACAGGUGUCCCCGGCGCGGAGGUCGCAGCGCCCCGGCCCCUCUCACCUUUCGGGUCUGCGGCGCCCGGGGUCUCCCUUCCUCUGCGGCUGCGGCGGCUCCGGGGCUUCCCAGGGCGCGGGCCCAGGAGGCGCGGCUGCGUCCCAGAAGUGCUACUGUGACCCCUGAAGCCUUUCUUCCCAGAGUGGAGAGGAUGGGGCCAAAUUCUAGGACCUUCCACAAAUCUUUAUUGAGCAAAGCCCUGUUCUGAACCCGGGACAACUAUGGAUGCAGAGGAAGCCUGGUAAACAAGCAGACACAGGAUGGUUUGUGGAACAGCAUAGCCCUUCCUCUCUUCGACCUUCGCUCUUGACUUCUGCAGACCUCUUUCAGAAUAAACAAACCCUCAAACCA